GGCGCUGUGGUGUAGUGGGUUAAAACCCUGGUCUGCAGUGCCAGCAUCCCAUAUGGGCUCUGGUUCAAGUCCCGGCUGCUCCA
rnacentral:tRNA from 1 species